rnacentral:rRNA from 1 species
AAACGAUUGAAGUCAGUCGUGUCCAUUUGGUUUCAGCCAGUUCUGCUGGUGUAUUACCUUUUGGACGGGUCAACAUCAGUUUUGGUUGGCGGAUAAGAGCAAGUUGAAUGUGGCACCCUCGGGUGUGUUAUAGCUUCUUGUUGCAUACACUGGUCGAGACUGAGGAAUGCAGCUUGCCUUUACUGGCCGGAGGUUCGCCUCACGUUACAAGCUCAGGAUGUUGACAUAAUGGCUUUAAACGA